CAGCCGCCGCGGUAAUACGUAGGUGGCAAGCGUUGUCCGGAAUUAUUGGGCGUAAAGCGCGCGCAGGCGGUUCCUUAAGUCUGAUGUGAAAGCCCACGGCUCAACCGUGGAGGGUCAUUGGAAACUGGGGGACUUGAGUGCAGAAGAGGAGAGCGGAAUUCCACGUGUAGCGGUGAAAUGCGUAGAGAUGUGGAGGAACACCAGUGGCGAAGGCGGCUCUCUGGUCUGUAACUGACGCUGAGGCGCGAAAGCGUGGGGAGCAAACAGGAUUAGAUCCCCUGGUAGUCCACGCCGUAAACGAUGAGUGCUAAGUGUUAGAGGGUAUCCACCCUUUAGUGCUGUAGCUAACGCAUUAAGCACUCCGCCUGGGGAGUACGCUCGCAAGAGUGAAACUUAAAGGAAUUGGCGGG
rnacentral:rRNA from 1 species